ACGGGUGAGUAAUGCUUAUCUAACUUGCCGAUUAGUGGGGGAUAACCAUGGGAAACCAUGACUAAUACCGCAUUUGUUAUUUAGUUAAUUAAAGGAAAUCGUAAGAUUUUCGCUAAUCGAUAGGGAUAAGUCGUAUUAGCUAGUUGGUGAGGUAAUGGCUCACCAAGGCAAUGAUGCGUAGCCAGUCUGAGAGGAUGAAUGGCCACAAGGGAACUGAGACACGGUCCCUACUCCUACGGGAGGCAGCAGUGAGGAAUUUUCCGCAAUGGGGGCAACCCUGACGGAGCAAUACUACGUGAAGGAAGAAGGUCUGAGGAUUGUAAACUUCUGUUAGCGCGGAAGAAGGAUUGUAAAAUCUUGACGGUACGCGCAGAGAAAGCCACGACUAACUAUGUGCCAGCAGUCGCGGUAAGACAUAGGUGGCGAACGUUAUCCGGAAUUAUUGGGCGUAAAGGGUGCGUAGAUUGUGYAAUAAGUUAUCGGUGGCAAAUCGAGGCCCAACCUCGUGGAAGUCGGUAAUACUGUUACACUACAGUUCAGGAGAGGUUGAUGGAACUCCAUGUGGAGCGGUAAAAUGCGUAGAUAUAUGGAAGAAUGUCGAUAAAGGCGAAGGCAGUCAACUAUUCUGUUACUGACGUUGAGGCACGAAAGCGUGGGGAGCAAAAAGGAUUAGAUACCCUUGUAGUCCACGCCCUAAACGAUGAGUACUAGAUAUUGGAUAUAUAUUUAGUGUCGCUAGUUAACACGGUAAGUACUCCGCCUGGGUAGUACGCUCGCAAGAGUGAAACUCAAAGGAAUUGACGGGGACUCGCACAAGCAGUGGAGCAUGUGGUUUAAUCCGAUACAACGCGUAGAACCUUACCAAGGCUUGACAUGUUGGGCAAAGCUAAGGAAACUUAGUGGAGGUUAUCCUAACACAGGUGCUGCAUGGCCGUCGUCAGUUCGUGCCGUGAGGUGUAUGGUUAAGUCCUAUAACGAACGUAACCCUUGUACUUAGUUACUAACAUUUAGUUGAGAACUCUAAGUAGACUGCCAAGGUAACUUGGAGGAAGGAAAGGACGACGUCUGGUCGUCAUGGCCCUUAUGCCUUGGGCGACACACAUGCUACAAUGGUUAACACAAAGGGUUGCCAACCCGCGAGGGGGAGCUAAUCUCAAAAAAUUAACCUUAGUUCGGAUUGAAGGCUGAAACUCGCCUUCAUGAAGGAGGAAUUGCUAGUAAUCGCAAAUCAGCCAUGUUGCGGUGAAUACGUUCUCGAGUCUUGUACACACCGCCCGUCAAAUCACGAAAAUCGGUAAUGCUUGAAACCAACUAACUAACCCGUAAGGGAGGUGGUUGACUAGGGUAGGAUUGGUAAUUGGGGUUAAGUCGUAACAAGGUAACC
rnacentral:rRNA from 1 species